GUAGGUGAACCUGCGGAAGGAUCAUUACCGAGUGCGGGCCCUCUGGGUCCAACCUCCCAUCCGUGUCUAUCUGUACCCUGUUGUUUCGGCGUGGCCACGGCCCGCCGGAGACUAACAUUUGAACGCUGUCUGAAGUUUGCAGUCUGAGUUUUUAGUUAAACAAUCGUUAAAACUUUCAACAACGGAUCUCUUGGUUCCGGCAUCGAUGAAGAACGCAGCGAAAUGCGAUAAUUAAUGUGAAUUGCAGAAUUCAGUGAAUCAUCGAGUCUUUGAACGCACAUUGCGCCCCCUGGUAUUCCGGGGGGCAUGCCUGUCCGAGCGUCAUUGCUGCCCUCAAGCACGGCUUGUGUGUUGGGCUUCCGUCCCUGGCAACGGGGACGGGCCCAAAAGGCAGUGGCGGCACCAUGUCUGGUCCUCGAGCGUAUGGGGCUUUGUCACCCGCUCCCGUAGGUCCAGCUGGCAGCUAGCCUCGCAACCAAU
rnacentral:rRNA from 1 species